GACGAACGCUGGCGGCGUGCUUAACACAUGCAAGUCGAACGGAAAGGCCCUGCUUUUGUGGGGUGCUCGGGUGGCGAACGGGUGAGUAACACGUGAGUAACCUGCCCUUGACUUUGGGAUAACUUCAGGAAACUGGGGCUAAUACCGGAUAGGAGCUCCUGCUGCAUGGUGGGGGUUGGAAAGUCUCGGCGGUUGGGGAUGGACUCGCGGCUUAUCAGCUUGUUGGUGGGGGAGUGGCUUACCAAGGAUUUGACGGGUAGCCGGCCUGAGAGGGUGACCGGCCACAUUGGGACUGAGAGACGGCCCAGACUCCUACGGGAGGCAGCAGUGGGGAAUAUUGCACAAUGGGCGGAAGCCUGAUGCAGCAACGCCGCGUGCGGGAUGACGGCCUUCGGGUUGUGAACCGCUUUCGCCUGUGACGAAGCGUGAGUGACGGUAAUGGGUAAAGAAGCACCGGCUAACUACGUG
rnacentral:rRNA from 1 species